UAGUCCUCCAUCAUAUAUACCAACAUCAUAGUAUUUUCAUGUUAACGGCCACUGCAUUGGGCUGGUAACUUAAGACUUUUGUGGUUUCUGUUAGUGAUGAACCGUAAGAAAGCCCUUGGAGUUAAAAUUGAUCAAAGCUGUGCAAAUAAAUUUUUUGAUUUGGAUGAAACUUUUGCGGUUGGAGAGGAAUGAAAUUCCAAUUUAAAAAAAAGUCCAUAAAUUGGUUGUAUUUCGGCUGAAGUUAGUAAUUUUGAAUCUUGUAUCUGGUAUUAUCCUUUCAUUUAUUCUUUUAAUUUGGAAAUUUUGAAUCUUGUAUCUGCUAAAUUCAUUUAAUCAAAUUGAAUAUAUUUGAGUUGGCAUGAGUAGAUCUAUACUUGACUAAAGAACAAGAAAAUUGAACUAGCUUAGUUUGAAGUUUUGGUGGUUUGCAACUUCUUGACAAUGAUAAUGCAGUGAUAUUUCUACAAAUGUUAUCCUAGUUAAUUAAUUAUG
rnacentral:misc_RNA from 1 species